rnacentral:rRNA from 1 species
CAGCCGCCGCGGUAAUUCCGGCGGCCCGAGUGGCGGCCACUAUUAUUGGGCUUAAAGCGUCCGUAGCCGGGUUGGUUAGUCUCCCGGGAAAUCUGGCCGCUUAACGGUCAGAAUUCCGGGAGAUACUGCCAGCCUAGGGACCGGGAGAGGCCGAGGGUAUUCCCGGAGUAGGGGUGAAAUCCUAUAAUCCCGGGAGGACCACCUGUGGCGAAGGCGCUCGGCUGGAACGGGUCCGACGGUGAGGGACGAAGGCCAGGGGACCAAACCGGAUUAGAUACCCGGGUAGUCCUGGCUGUAAACGAUGCGGACUUUGUGUCGGACAAGCUAUGAGCUUGUCCGGUGCCGGAGGGAAACCGUUAAGUCCGCCGCCUGGGGAGUACGGCCGCAAGGCUGAAACUUAAAGGAAUUGGCGGG